rnacentral:tRNA from 1 species
GUUUUUAUAGUUGAAUUACAACAGUGGUUUUUCGUAUCACAGGCCUUGGUUAAAAGCUGAGUAAAAACU